UACGAAGGGGGCUAGCGUUGCUCGGAAUUACUGGGCGUAAAGUGUGCGCAGGCGGCGUCGCAAGUCGAGUGUGAAAGCCCCGAGCUUAACUUGGGAAUUGCGCUCGAAACUACGAUGCUGGAGUGUGGCAGAGGAAGGUGGAAUUCCACGUGUAGCGGUGAAAUGCGUAGAGAUGUGGAGGAACACCGAUGGCGAAGGCAGCCUUCUGGGCCAACACUGACGCUCAUGCACGAAAGCGUGGGGAGCAAACAGG
rnacentral:rRNA from 1 species